rnacentral:rRNA from 1 species
CUCUGUGACUCCUACGGGAGGCAGCAGUGGGGAAUAUUGCACAAUGGGGGAAACCCUGAUGCAGCCAUGCCGCGUUGUGUGAAGAAGGUCCUUCGGGUUGUAAAGCACUUUCAGUAGGGAGGAAGGUAGUGUAGUUAACACCUGCACUAUUUGACGUUACCUACAGAAGAAGCACCGGCUAACUCCGUGCCAGCAGCCGCGGUAAUACGGAGGGUGCGAGCGUUAAUCGGAAUUACUGGGCGUAAAGCGCAUGCAGGCGGCCUGUUAAGUCAGAUGUGAAAAGCCCGGGGCUUAACCUCGGAAUUGCAUUUGAAACUGGCAGGCUAGAGUCUUGUAGAGGGGGUAGAAUUUCAGGUGUAGCGGUGAAAUGCGUAGAGAUCUGAAGGAAUACCAGUGGCGAAGGCGGCCCCCUGGACAAAGACUGACGCUCAGAUGCGAAAGCGUGGGGAGCAAACAGGAUUAGAUACCCUGGUAG